GUCUUUUUGGCCAACGACACAGAGGUGACCUCUUUCGUCAACCACAUCAGGGCAUCAACAGGACAUAAUCCUGGGAAAGGCAGGUGUGGUGGAAGCGAAUGGGUGGCUGCACGAGAGUCCUGAGGAGCUCAAGAAAUUGGCUGGAGAGUUGUCUAUUCAGGAAGACACUGUUCAGCAAUGGGUGUCUGAUGUUCAACAGUGGACUGCAGAAGGAGCAUGCAGUCAAAAUGAACUUGAAAAAACCAUUGAAGGACUGUAUCUCAGCAUUAAGCAGCGGAAAUAUCAGCUGUAUCGUCAGGCUGAUGGCAACAAGAGAAGACAUCUGCUUAGAAAAAAGAUUUCAGUGGAAAAGAGAUCCUUAGAAGAUGCCAUCACAAAAUACAAUGCUGUAGUGCCAGAAACUGGCAAACUCCCUUCUCCCAACGAGCUCCUGGCUGAGGAAAACUAUUCCUGGCCUUGGGAAUGUCAUGGUGAUAUGUUAAAGAAAAAAAAGGUCUUCGACAAGGUAUGCUGCUGAACCGACUGAAGGAAGAGGAGGUCAUUGUUGUCCGUGAAGUCAAGCAGCACUGGGAGUACAUGAGGAAUAUGGCUGGAAAUAUUGAAGAGAUUUCCUCCCAGCUUUCAGAAGGGAUCACUCAGCAAAGCGGCACAGAAGCAUUGACUGGGAGAGGACGUGAGGGGCUACUCUGUCUGCUGAAGAGAAGACUGUCAGCAAUUCAAGCUCAGCAGGGUGCAGCUCGCUCAACGUACCAACGUGUUUUUGGAUCGCAAGCCUUGUCUCUCGAUGAUUCCUCCACUGAUGAUGAAGAACCCCAUGAUAGCUGCUCCUCCACCGAAGAUGAA